rnacentral:rRNA from 1 species
UACGUAGGGUGCAAGCGUUUGUCCGGAAUUAUUGGGCGUAAAGAGCUCGUAGGCGGUUUGUCGCGUCUGCUGUGAAAACGCGAGGCUCAACCUCGCGCCUGCAGUGGGUACGGGCAGACUAGGGUGCGGUAGGGGAGACUGGAAUUCCUGGUGUAGCGGUGGAAUGCGCAGAUAUCAGGAAGAACACCCGUGGCUAAGGCGGCUCUCUAGUACGGUACUGACGCUGAGACGCGAAAGCGUGGGGAGCGAACAGG